UAAGGUGGUUAUAGCACGAGGGUCCCACCUCUUCCCAUACCGAACAGAGAAGUUAAGCCUCGUCACGCCGAUGGUACUGCGCAAAGUGGGAGAGUAGGUAGCCGCCACAU
rnacentral:rRNA from 1 species